GAGCUAUGAUGAAAAUCGAAAGUGAUGGUGGGUCCAUCACAUUCUCAUCCAUUCGAUGAAAACAAAUAAAUCUGAGCUU